rnacentral:rRNA from 1 species
UGGGGAAUAUUGCGCAAUGGACGAAAGUCUGACGCAGCGACGCCGCGUGUGGGAGGAAGCUCUUCGGGGUGUAAACCACUGUCAGGAGGGAAGAACGGCGCCGGUUCGAAUAGUUCCGGCGAUUGACGGUACCUCCAAAGGAAGCGCCGGCUAACUCCGUGCCAGCAGCCGCGGUAAGACGGAGGGCGCAAGCGUUGUUCGGAAUUACUGGGCGUAAAGAGCUCGUAGGCGGUUGCGUAAGUCGGAUGUGAAAACUCAGGGCUCAACCCUGAAACGCCAUCCGAUACUGCGCUGACUUGAAUCCAGUAGGGGAUGUGGAAUUCCUGGUGUAGCGGUGAAAUGCGCAGAUAUCAGGAGGAACACCCAUGGCGAAGGCAGCACUCUGGGCUGGUAUUGACGCUGAGGAGCGAAAGCAUGGGUAGCGAACAGGAUUAGAUACCCUCGUAGUCCCUGAGCGGGCUGGCAAGGCGCAU